UACGGAGGGUGCAAGCGUUAUCCGGAUUCACUGGGUUUAAAGGGUGCGUAGGCGGAUAGGUAAGUCCGUGGUGAAAUCCUGCAGCUUAACUGCAGAACUGCCGUGGAUACUAUCUAUCUUGAAUGUCGUGGAGGUUAGCGGAAUAUGUCAUGUAGCGGUGAAAUGCUUAGAUAUGACAUAGAACACCAAUUGCGAAGGCAGCUUACUACCCGAAUAUUGACACUGAGGCACGAAAGCGUGGGGAUCAAACAGG
rnacentral:rRNA from 1 species